UGCAGUCUGGACGCGGAAGGGUGAACGUCUCCUGCUCUGACUGCAGCACGAGGACUGGGACGGGGGUGGGGCCAACGGCAGCACCCCCUGCUUGUUGAGAAGAGCCAAGAAAGCACUGUUCCCCUCCAACCAAUCAGCGAACUCAAUCACAGACUCAAUACCUGAGGAAGAUGAUGCGUUUGAGGAUGAAGAAGAGGAAGCUGAGCAGCAAAGACAGAAGAUGCAGGGAGGAGAGCAGGCAAACACACCUGGAGGAGAGAGCAGUGCAGGACGCAGCCAUGGUGUUGUGGAAAAGUCAGUCUUCAAAGUCACCUGUGGGGCCAUCAAUGGAACGCUACAUAAGGAUCGGUUUGCAUCUGCACGAUCAGGAUAACGAUGACGACUGCUUCAUCUGUAGAAGCCAGGGCAGCUUGAUAUGCUGUGAUGAGUGUCCUCGCUCCUUCCAUCAGAGAUGUCAUCUUCCUAAUGUGGAUGAUGCCAUGAUGGGGGAUAAUAGUCAGUGGAUGUGUACAUAGUGUGUACAGAGGACCAGUCAGCCGUGUCGCUACCCAAAACAAAUUACCUACCAGGAAGCCUUGACCUGCCGAAUCUCUGACCACCAACUGGAAUGCCAGGACCUCCUGCUGUGUCUCUACCAUGCAGAUGAGGACCACAUCUUUGUGAAAGAUCCUUGCAUGUUUUGUUUAGUUCUCUCUGUGUGUGUGAGAGAGAGAGAAUGUGUGCGUCUGUGCAUGCAUGCUUGCCUGUGUAGGUUUUUAGUGUCUUGAGUUUGUAUGCGUGUCAACAUUAACUUAUUUUGCUGUCUGUAUACAUCACUGCCUUUCAACGCCAGGUGAGAAACUACUCCAGUGUGAUAAAGACUGAUGUGGCUGGACAGGGUUGUGGAGAAGCUGCAGCAGAAUCUCUACCAGUCAGUGCAACACUUUGAGUCUGACGUGCAGCUUAUCUUCACCAACUGUGCCACAUUUAACAGGGAUAACGCAGAGUUCCGUGGGAUGUGCGAAAGUUUGAAGGAUCCAUUUAAGCAGGAGUUCAAGUGUACAUCCAACUGCAGCAUCUAACUACAUCCAACGUCCAGUAGAGCCUUCAUGAAGUCUGCAACAUUAUUUUACUAUGAAAUAGGGAAUACCCAAGAUGCCAUGAGAAAUAUGCUUCAAAACAAGAUCACUUAGUUAUUUAGUCAGCUAACUUUGAUGAGCAACCAGAAAUAACUACAGAAUUUCUGGUUCAUUAAGAAGGAUAACAUUUGAUACAUGUGUAUUUUUGGUUGUUGAGUCAAUUAGACCAUUUCAAGCUUUAAAGUGGGACUGAAUCGAACAACCAACCUCUUUGAAAAUGGCAUAUGUGACAUCGAUAUUUAUUCAAGUGCCUGACUAAAAAGUGCAAGUAGGUUAAUUUUGGUCUUGGUAUAGUCCAAAACUGAGAUUUGUGGACAAGAGUUCAUCAGGAUGUAGCUGAGGGUUGGGUUUUGAUUUCGACAAUGUCAAUUUGUUCACUAACACGGGAUGAACAGAUGCGGUUAUUACCAUCUAGCCAAUGGCACAGACAGUGAGACAGUCCUGCCCAGCAGCUCAGACUUUGUUUACAUAAAACAAGUCACACAUUUUUUUACUUGAUAAAUACGGCACCAAACACCUUAGUAGGAUGUAAAAUUGCACAACUAAAACCACCUUGGUUUCCCACUCCAUCUUUCUAUAAAAUAAAGUUAUUUCAAGAUAUUUAGGCAAUUCAACACAAUCUCACAGUUAAUGUGGGGAUCCAUUUUUAUGAUGGGAAAUUAUAAUACAGACAUUUACACUCACUUUGUACUCAUGUUAUAGCCAACUCUUGACUUUUGUAUGAAUUCUUUUUAAUAAAAUAUUUGUAUCAA